CUUAGAAGGCGGGAACAUCUCUUCUCUUCAAUUCAUAGCUGAGAAUGAUGGUAUCCAUCAAGUUAAUUAGCAAAAUCGUAACAAUAUUUAAUGAUAUAUCAAUGAAUGUAAUGUUUACAUUUCUAUUAAAAAAGACUACAACUAGCCUAAUCUUUGCAUUCGAUGAAUUCAUGUAGUAUACGCAUAAUAUAUCCGAUAGCUCCGAUUACUUAAAAUCGCAAUAAUUUAUCUUUGUGUACAUAAAUAAAGAUUAGUUUUUAAAUAAUAUAAUAUGUUACGGAUAUUAAGUUUUCGUAAAAAUUUGGUGGUUGUGCACAAAAGAAAGGAAUUAUGCAAUUACAAGAAUUUGUUUUCAACUACACGCGAUUAUUCCAAUACUCCAAAUCCGGACCAUAGUGAUUGUCAUAUCGAUGGAACGCGCAGUCUACCUCGGCUUAUGGACUUACCAGAAACAUUGUGGCCUUCAACAAUUAAUACACUAAAAAAUUGGAUCUUAGUUCAAUUCAUAAUUCGUCCUUACUUCGAUAGAGAUUUUACCAUUAGCGAUUUUAUUAUUGGUGCAAAACAUGCUCUUCAGGUUAUUUCGUCAAAGUUGGUAAAUGGAGAAUUCGCUGCACUAAGCAAUUUUGUGACAAAAGAAGCCAUCGGUGAACUAAAACCCACUAUACAGAAGCUAUCAGUGGCUCAGAGAAAGCAGCUGGAUAUUAAUAAAUCCGAUAUUUACUUCGCUUUCCCCUACCAAGUCGGCAUAAUAUUUGAUGAUGAUCAAGAAAAAGUCCAGAAACGCUGGGUCGAAAUUACAAUGGUUUUCCAUAUUCUUCGAGGACUAACAGAAAUGCGAAAUAGAGGGGAAGAAAUUCCAUGGAAUAUGGGCCAUAUAUGUAUGGUCUCAUACUGCUUUUUGUGCAAUCGUUAGCUCUUUGGCAAUCGGAGCAAUGCUUACCUGACGGUCGGACACGACAAUGUCCUUAAUUUUAUCGACGGUUUCGACAAUUGGACUUCAAUUCCGUGAAUCAUCUAUCUGCUACAUCAAAAUUACCGGAAUGAAACCGUAAUUUCGCAUAAUUGACCGAAACUGUAUCAAGACCAUAAACGAUAUUCUCAUUUUCAGCCGUAUGGCUUACAUUUUCGUCCUUAUCGAAGAAACACUAGAAUAUAGCGUAUUUUCUCUGGUAGUGUCCAUCUUUGACAGAAAAACAAACCUGAAUCACAGUUAAAAAACCCCAACUAUUGUAAAAAUUAGUGAAUUUCUUUUACUAAGACUAAUAUAUAUUUUACGCAUCAUGAGUUUAUUAUUAGUGAUAUUUGGUCAGUUAACCAUAGAAAAAGUAUAGGAAACAAAACAUGGUUAUGCGUAGAAACAAUGAUGUUAACUACCGAUUACCAAGUUUUUGGUGACUAAAACAAAGUUGCGACACUUCUUAAAAAAAUGGCUCUUUGUAACCGCUCAAGCGAUUUUCGGCAGUUAUACUAAGCCGCCUUCGAAUGGCUGAUGUUUUUUCUGAAUAGGCUGAGGAGUCCCUGCCGAGAACUUUACUUAAUGUACUUAAUUAUUACUAACUGAGUGAAUGGAAUUAGUCAACGUAUUAUACGUGGUAUACAGUUAUAGAUUCAAGCGUGAGUCAUUUUUUUGCUACCAUAUGCAGCACACCAACAGACAUUUACUUGAAACCGAGCAACCCAUUCCACAAAUUGUACAAGAUCCGCUGGACAACUUUAAACGCCGUACAUAAAUCAUAAAGGAUCUCUCGAUGUGGCAUAAGCCGCAACAAAUAGUAACACGUUGAGGAUGAAGACGCUUUUCAACAAUAAAUCUUUGCUUUUUGGAGCCCCAGAUGCUAUAGUUUUCCUUAUUGACGCUGCCAUCGAGAUCUCUUCCAGAAUAUCAGGAUAAGGUAUUUGUAUGCAAUUAUCGCUUCAAAAAGGAGUUUACCAGCGAUGCUGAGUCAGAUUGGACAG
rnacentral:misc_RNA from 1 species